AGGAAGUCUUUAGGCUGCCUGUCUGCUGAGGGGUGAGGCUGUGUUCCUGUUCUGUUGGCUGUUUGGCCUGAGGCGUCCCAGUUACAGGCUGUUGAGUGGGACAGGUCUCGGUGCCAGAGACCCAAAAUACCUGUCUCUGCCUCCAGCCAGAAUUGAUGCAGGUCUCUGCUUCCGCCACCAGCUUUUAUGACCCCAGAGAGAGCCACAGUCGCCCCCGCCCCCUCGCCUCUCCAGGAGACCCUCCAAGACCAGCAGGCAAUGUGAUAAAACUGAAAGAAAUUCAACAACCUGGGGUAAACAACAUUUGGUAUCUGGAUCCCAACUCAGAGGCAGGCCUGCCCAGCUCGCAGCUUUGCUCUUGAGGUCGCAUGAUCCGAGUGAAACUGCAUCAGCUUGGGACUCUAACAGGUGAGUUAUUUGAAUUCCACUGGACGUUAAAAGAAACCCUCAUAAAUAAUAUUAUCCCUCGAUCUCUCUAGCCCACUCUCACACGCUGCUCCCCUCUCUCCCUCCUCUAUCUCUAUCUCAUUCUUGAAAGACAACAUGGGUUUAAUGGCACAUGUGCCCCAGAUACUUCCAACAUUGAUUGUUCAUGCUAUUAAUAUCAAGGUAACAUAGCUGGUGACAGCUUCUUUCAUUGAUUCAUAAUUCAUGUCCCUGUUAAACGGUAUCUGAUCCAAUGAGUUAUACAUAUUUCACUCUGAAUAUGCUAAUGUUGUCAGUUGAUAUCAAAAGAAAAACCACAACUUAGUUCUUUCUUUACUGAGGAAUUAAGGGAGAAAAUGCCUCUGUUGUGGGUGCGUAGGAAAUCCCAAGGCCUGGAAAAUACCUCUGACUCUGAAAGAUCAAAUCCUGUUCAAGCUGAAGUCAAACUGCCUCUUAGAGAUUCUGCCCAAGUCAAUGGUGGUUGUCCUAUGGCAACAUGGCAGUAUUUCUUAUGUACUAGCUUCACAGAGUUUCAAGAGAUAGCUUUCCUUUACAAAUAUAUUUCAGGAAGUGGUUGUAUUUUUUAAAGCAAUUUUAAAAACUCUGUUUAAGUGAAUAGGUUCAUCAAUCAGAAAGCCCAAAGGAAGGUGGCGAACAAAAGGGCAAAGUUUUUUUUCAUUGUUAUUAAAGCAGAGAAAUAAUAUCUGAGGCCUGAGGCUCAAUUUGUGAAGAGCAUGAACCACGGGACUCCUGUUCAAGGUAGGCAGCUGCUGAGACACUUCAAAAGAUCAUCUUUAUUGCAGAACAAUUGCCUGACCCAGUUUCCUGGUCAGCAACAUGCUUUUGUAGAAACUUCAGGAACUGAUGAAAAAGCUCAGCCAAGUUAGCAUGUGUACUUUCAUCUGGGGCUAUCGGGAGGAGAAAUAUGGAAAGGUUUCCAGGUCCCUUGGAUUUAACACUUGCAGGUGUAGUGACACAGAAGCAAAGAAUAAAACAAAAGAUAUGAGCAUGUUUUAAAAGGCAGUAUCUGACUUCUUGGCAAAUGUGCUUGAUAUUAGGAUUUGUAGAACAGAGAGGUCUUUCUGUAUUCAUAGUCUUUUGCCUAUCAAAAUAUUUUGAUAUCAUAAUAAAAUCCUACUGUAAAGUACACUUGGACCAUUGACUAAGGAUUCACUGCCUUGAUAUAGAAAGAUAUUCUUCCGCCCA